AUCAGUAACGUUGGCUCUCAGUUCCUGAGCAGGGCGAUGGCAGUGUCAGUUCAAGCGAUCACAGUCUGUCUCACCCUAUCGCUCGGACAAUGGAUUCAAUGGGUUCGUGCUGCGCCGACUGUAGUCCAGUCUGCAACAGGGGCCACUAUUCCACAAGGACAGACUUUCACUUUGACCUGCAGUUUAGACGGAGAGAGCAUGGGCAGCUAUACUAUGCACUGGUACCGCCAACAGGGGACAACAAUAGAGUGGCUGUGCGAUGAAUAUAAAAGCUGUGCAUCGGGUUUAGACGACAGGUUCGAAGUGCAACACCUCUCUGCGAAUAACCGAUUUACCCUGAAGCUGAGCAGUACCCAGUUGGCAGACUCUGCGACCUACUACUGUGCAGCCAGUAUGGCACAGAAACACAACCCGCCCAUAAACUAA